CAGGCUUGCUGGAGCUCCGCAGCGGCGCCUGGGUCAACGAAGGGGGCCCGACACCGUGAACAAUUCCGGAGCUUGA
rfam:Rhizobium sp. LC145 LC145_contig8, whole genome shotgun sequence.